UCCCUGGUGGUUCAGUGGUUAAGAAUCUGCCUGCCUGUGCAGGGGACAUGGGUUCGAUUCCUAGUCAGGGAA
rnacentral:tRNA from 1 species